rnacentral:rRNA from 1 species
GAUGAACGCUGGCGGCGUGCCUAAUACAUGCAAGUCGAGCGAACGGACGAGAAGCUUGCUUCUCUGAUGUUAGCGGCGAACGGGUGAGUAACACGUGGAUAACCUACCUAUAAGACUGGGAUAACUUCGGGAAACCGGAGCUAAUACCGGAUAAUAUUUUGAACCGCAUGGUUCAAAAGUGAAAGACGGUCUUGCUGUCACUUAUAGAUGGAUCCGCGCUGCAUUAGCUAGUUGGUAAGGUAACGGCUUACCAAGGCAACGAUGCAUAGCCGACCUGAGAGGGUGAUCGGCCACACUGGAACUGAGACACGGUCCAGACUCCUACGGGAGGCAGCAGUAGGGAAUCGUCCGCAAUGGGCGAAAGCCUGACGGAGCAACGCCGCGUGAGUGAUGAAGGUCUUCGGAGCGUAAAACUCUGUUAUUAGGGAAGAACAUAUGUGUAAGUAACUGUGCACAUCUUGACGGUACCUAAUCAGAAAGCCACGGCUAACUACGUG